rnacentral:rRNA from 1 species
CCGCGGGAUUAGAGUUUGAUCCUGGCUCAGCCUGAACGCUGGCGGCGUGGCUAAGACAUGCAAGUCGUACGGUGUAGCAAUACACAGUGGCGAACGGGCGAGUAAUGUAUCGCUAACGUGCCCCGGACUCUGGGAUAGCUACUCGAAAGGGUAGGUAAUACCAGAUGAUAUGACCUGAUCGCAUGAUCGGGUCCUCAAAGGUCCGCCGGUCUGGGAGCGGGCGAUAUCGUAUCAGCUAGUUGGUAGGGUAACGGCCUACCAAGGCUGCGACGCGUAGCCGGACUGAGAGGUUGACCGGCCACAUUGGGACUGAGACACUGCCCAGACUCCUACGGGGGGCUGCAGUAACGAAUCUUCCGCAAUGCACGAAAGUGUGACGGAGCGACGCCGCGUGUGGGACGAAGUUCUUCGGAAUGUAAACCACUGUCAGGGAUUAGAAAGUUCUGAUCAAUCCCAAAGGAAGGCACGGCUAACUCUGUGCCAGCAGCCGCGGUAAUACAGAGGUGCCAAGCGUUAGGCGGAAUCACUGGGCUUAAAGCGUGUGUAGGCGGACUUCUAAGUGCCUUGUGAAAUCCCACAGCUUAACUGUGGAACUGCUGGGUAUACUGGAAGUCUUGAGCAACCUAGGGGCGAGCGGAACAAAUGGUGGAGCGGUGAAAUGCGUAGAUAUCAUUUGGAACGCCAAAGGUGAAAACAGCUCGCUGGGGGUUUGCUGACGCUGAGACACGAAAGCUAGGGGAGCAAACGGGAUUAGAUACCCCGGUAGUCCUAGCCGUAAACGAUGUCGACUAGAUCGUGGAGCCUCUGACGGUCUCACGGUCGAAGCA